UGCAGUUAAAAAGCUCGUAGUUGGAUUUCGGAGUGGGCCAGUUGGUCCGCCGCAAGGUGUGUUACUGACUGGUUUGCUCUUCUUCGCAAAGACUGCGUGUGCUCUUUAUUGAGUGUGCGUAGGAUUUACGACGUUUACUUUGAAGAAAAUUAGAGUGUUCAAAGCAGGCUAUUGCUUGAAUACAUGAGCAUGGAAUAAUGGAAUAGGAUUUUGGUCCCAUUUUGUUGGUUUCUAGGACCGAAGUAAUGAUUAAGAGGGACAAUUGGGGGCAUCCGUAUUUCGUUGUCAGAGGUGAAAUUCUUGGAUUUACGAAAGACGAACAACUGCGAAAGCACUUGCCAAGAGUGUUUUCAUUAAUCAAGAACGAAAGUUAGAGGAUCGAAGACGAUCAGAUACCGUCCUAGUUCUAACCAUAAACGAUGUCGACUAGGGAUCAGCGGGCGUUAUCGUACGACCCCGUUGGCACCUUACGGGAAACCAAAGUUUCUGGAU
rnacentral:rRNA from 1 species